rnacentral:rRNA from 1 species
AUUGAACGCUGGCGGCAUGCUUUACACAUGCAAGUCGAACGGCAGCGGGGGCUUCGGCCCGCCGGCGAGUGGCGAACGGGUGAGUAAUGCAUCGGAACGUGCCCAGUCGUGGGGGAUAACACAUCGAAAGAUGUGCUAAUACCGCAUACGUCCUGAGGGAGAAAGCGGGGGAUCUUCGGACCUCGCGCGAUUGGAGCGGCCGAUGUCGGAUUAGCUAGUUGGUGGGGUAAAAGCCCACCAAGGCGACGAUCCGUAGCGGGUCUGAGAGGAUGAUCCGCCACACUGGGACUGAGACACGGCCCAGACUCCUACGGGAGGCAGCAGUGGGGAAUUUUGGACAAUGGACGCAAGUCUGAACCAGCCACGUCGCGUGAAGGAAGACGGCCCUACGGGUUGUAAACUUCUUUUAUACGGGAAUAAAGUGCCCCACGCGUGGGGUUUUGCAUGUACCGUAUGAAUAAGGAUCGGCUAACUCCGUG